rnacentral:rRNA from 1 species
GUGGGGAAUAUUGGACGAUGGGCGAAAGCCUGAUCCAGCCAUGCCGCGUGUGUGAAGAAGGUCUUCGGAUUGUAAAGCACUUUAAGUUGGGAGGAAGGGUAGUAACCUAAUACGUUGCUACUUUGACGUUACCGACAGAAUAAGCACCGGCUAACUUCGUGCCAGCAGCCGCGGUAAUACGAAGGGUGCAAGCGUUAAUCGGAAUUACUGGGCGUAAAGCGCGCGUAGGUGGUUCAGUAAGUUGGAAGUGAAAUCCCCGGGCUCAACCUGGGAACUGCUUUCAAAACUGCUGAGCUAGAGUACGGUAGAGGGUGGUGGAAUUUCCUGUGUAGCGGUGAAAUGCGUAGAUAUAGGAAGGAACACCAGUGGCGAAGGCGACCACCUGGACUGAUACUGACACUGAGGUGCGAAAGCGUGGGGAGCAAACAGGAUUAGAAACCCUGGUAGUCC